rnacentral:rRNA from 1 species
UACAGAGGUCUCGAGCGUUAGGCGGAAUCACUGGGCUUAAAGCGUGUGUAGGCGGAUCGGUAAGUACCUUGUGAAAUCCCACAGCUUAACUGUGGAACUGCUUGGUAUACUGCCAGUCUUGAGCCAGCUAGGGGCUACCGGAACAAAUGGUGGAGCGGUGAAAUGCGUAGAUAUCAUUUGGAACGCCAAUGGUGAAAACAGGUAGCUGGGGCUGUGCUGACGCUGAGACACGAAAGCCAGGGAGCAAACGGG